UACGGGAGGCAGCAGUGGGGAAUAUUGCACAAUGGGCGAAAGCCUGAUGCAGCUAUGCCGCGUGUAUGAAGAAGGCCUUAGGGUUGUAAAGUACUUUCAUCGGGGAGGAAAAAACAAAACUAAUAAUUUUAUUUCUUGACGUUACCCGAAAAAGAAGCACCGGCUAACUCCGUGCCAGCAGCCGCGGUAAUACGGAGGGUGCUAGCGUUAAUCAGAAUUACUGGGCGUAAAGAGCACGUAGGUGGUUUUUUUAAGUCAGAUGUGAAAUCCCUGGGCUUAACCUGGAACUGCAUUUUGAAACUGAAAUACUAGAGUAUCGUAGAGGGAGGUAGAAUUCUAGGUGUAGCGGUGAAAUGCGUAGAUAUCUGGAGGAAUACCUGUGGCGAAAGCGGCCUCCUAAACGAAUACUGACACUGAGGUGCGAAAGCGUGGGGAGCAAACGAGGGACUUAGACUACCCGU
rnacentral:rRNA from 1 species